CAAUAAGCGGAGGAAAAGAAACCAACAGGGAUUGCCUCAGUAACGGCGAGUGAAGCGGCAAAAGCUCAAAUUUGAAAUCUGGCGUCUUUGGCGUCCGAGUUGUAAUUUGAAGAUGGCAACUUUGGGUCUGGUGCUUGUCUAAGUUCCUUGGAACAGGACGUCAUAGAGGGUGAGAAUCCCGUAUGAUGAGAGAGCCAGAUCUUUGUAAAGUGCCUUCGAAGAGUCGAGUUGUUUGGGAAUGCAGCUCUAAGUGGGUGGUAAAUUCCAUCUAAAGCUAAAUAUUGGCGAGAGACCGAUAGCGAACAAGUACAGUGAUGGAAAGAUGAAAAGAACUUUGAAAAGAGAGUGAAAAAGUACGUGAAAUUGUUGAAAGGGAAGGGUUUGAGAUCAGACAUGGUAUUUUGUACACCUUCUCUCUCGGGAGGGGGCCUCUGCAGUUUACUGGGCCAGCAUCAGUUUGGACGGUAGGAUAAUGACUAAGGAAUGUGGCUCUUCUUCGGAAGUGUGUUAUAGCCUUUGUUGAUACUGCCUGUCUAGACUGAGGACCGCGUCUUGACAAGGA
rnacentral:rRNA from 1 species